AUUGAACGCUGGCGGCAGGCCUAACACAUGCAAGUCGAGCGGAUGAAGGGAGCUUGCUCCUGGAUUCAGCGGCGGACGGGUGAGUGAUGCCUAGGAAUCUGCCUGGUAGUGGGGGAUAACGUCCGGAAACGGGCGCUAAUACCGCAUACGACCUGAGGGAGAAAGUGGGGGAUCUUCGGACCUCACGCUAUCAGAUGAGCCUAGGUCGGAUUAGCUAGUUGGUGGGGUAAAGGCCUACCAAGGCGACGAUCCGUAACUGGUCUGAGAGGAUGAUCAGUCACACUGGAACUGAGACACGGUCCAGACUCCUACGGGAGGCAGCAGUGGGGAAUAUUGGACAAUGGGCGAAAGCCUGAUCCAGCCAUGCCGCGUGUGUGAAGAAGGUCUUCGGAUUGUAAAGCACUUUAAGUUGGGAGGAAGGGCAGUAAGUUAAUACCUUGCUGUUUUGACGUUACCAACAGAAUAAGCACCGGCUAACUUCGUG
rnacentral:rRNA from 1 species